rnacentral:lncRNA from 1 species
AAAAGUUUCUAUUUUUGUUUUGACUGUUCCCAGCUUCCUUCAAUUCAUCUGCUUCUGGGAACUGCAUCCUUUACUUAAGCAAUUUAAAGAUUUAGUGGGAGGACUCACAAUUACCAUGCAAUCAAAAUGUUAGCAGCAAUUGUUGUGAAACCCAAGUUGGUGGAAGUGCCCAGAAAGUAAGCCAAUAGCUGUCGAGAAUAGCUGAGGGAGGAUGGUGCUUUUCUGCUCCUUGCUGUUCACCCUCUCCACUCUGUCUUUCCCCACAGCUGCACUGUGAUUUUUUGACCUCCCAGACACCUUCUC